rnacentral:rRNA from 1 species
UACGUAGGGGGCAAGCGUUGUCCGGAAUCAUUGGGCGUAAAGAGCGUGUAGGCGGCCAGAAAAGUCCGCUGUGAAAACUCGAGGCUCAACUUCGAGCUGUCGGUGGAAACUUUCUGGCUAGAGUCCGGAAGAGGAGAAUGGAAUUCCUGGUGUAGCGGUGAAAUGCGCAGAUAUCGGGAGGAACACCAGUGGCGAAGGCGACUACCUGGCCUGUUUCUUGACGCUGAGGCGCGAAAGCUAGGGGAGCAAACGGG